GACGAACGCUGGCGGCGUGCCUAAUACAUGCAAGUCGAGCGGACGGAUGGGAGCUUGCUCCCAGACCGUCAGCGGCGGACGGGUGAGUAACACGUUGGCAACCUGCCUGUAAGACUGGGAUAACUCCGGGAAACCGGGGCUAAUACCGGAUAACUCUUUCCCUCACAUGAGGGAAAGCUGAAAUAUGGCAUCUCGCUAUCACUUACAGCUGGGCCCGCGGCGCAUUAGCUAGUUGGUGAGGUAACGGCUCACCAAGGCGACGAUGCGUAGCCGACCUGAGAGGGUGAUCAGCCACACUGGAACUGAGACACGGCCCAGACUCCUACGGGAGGCAGCAGUAGGGAAUCUUCCGCAAUGGACGAAAGUCUGACGGAGCAACGCCGCGUGAGUGAUGAAGGUUUUCGGAUCGUAAAACUCUGUUGUCAGGGAAGAACAAGUGCCGGUGUAACUGCCGGUAUCUUGACGGUACCUGAACAGAAAGCCACGGCUAACUUCGUG
rnacentral:rRNA from 1 species